CGCAAACAACUCUACGAGGUUUUUCUUCCCAGCAUUCUUCUUUGUUUUUAAUCUUUCAGUAUUUUCUUUUUUUAAGAGAUGAAGUCAACUUUCUGGAGGUUGAGGUGUCGGUCUCCAGAAUGUAGUCCCCGGAGGAACGCACGCUCUCGCGGCCUCAAGGGGUGGACAGAGUCUUGGCAAAGGGGGCCCUCGGAGGAUCUACGCCGUUAGCGGAGCUAAGUCCGCGGCUUCUAGGGCAGGAGGGGAGGAGCCUGGAAAGGCAGAGGAAACCGCUGGUUCAGACGCCGGUUCAACGACCGGCGUGGGACCCCCGAGUAGCUGGGGCGGGGUCACCAAGAGGAGACCCGGUGGGAGAGGGCGUGGCGAGCAGGUCGGGCGGGGACUUGUGGGCUCUCCUACUGGGGAGAAAGCGAGAGGCUCUGAGCGUGGGCCGCGGCGCGAGAGGGAGGUACCACGACUUAAUACUUCUGACUGGCCCGACGCGGGGGCGAGUGCAGAGAAGCGGAAAGGCCGGUGAGGAAAGGGGGAUUGCGUUCUCCCAGGAAAGAGAUAGUGAGCGCUUGGGCCCGGGGUUGUGGCAGUGCAGGGGGUGCGCAGUGGCCAGAUUCUGGUUGUAUUUUGAAAGUAGAGCCGCCGGCAUUUGCGGACAAUCGGGGAACAUAUGGGUGUGAAAGAGAAGAGUGGACGGUGACUCCAGCGGUUCUGGCCAGAGCUACUGGAAGGAAGGACACGGUUGUCAUAUUCUGAGUUGGGCGAGGACCAAGUUUGUCGAGGAGGCUGGAGGUGGAGGCGGAGCGAGGUGCGUGUUGCCCUGUUUGCAGCUCAGUUUAGGAGAGCACAAGCUAGAGAUGGCGCCCCAGAGAGUCAAGAGGAGGUGGCAGGUAGGCAGCUGGGUGUACCAGGCUGGACUGCAGCCUGGAGCUAUUUUGAGGACUGUCAGCAGAGAAGUGAGGACCCUCGGCCAGGAGUUGGGAGGAGCUCCCCAAGGGAGAGGGUGUCCAUCCGGCACAAGUAGAAGGGCGGAGCCGAGGCAUGAGCCCACAGUCAAGGACAUUAGAAGGACAGGCAGAAGGAAAAUCUGGAGAGCAAGGUGUUCUGGAAACCAAGCCCAGAAGGUAUUUCAAGAACGAGGGACCGCCCAACCCAGUAGAGAGCUGCUGAAGGAUUCCGGUGAGGUGGGGGGAUUGGAGAUGGACCUUGAGGAGAGCAGUGCACAAGAGACUGACUGGGGCAGGUUCAAAAGAGGGCAAGAUCCAAACCCAGGGUCAUUCUACAGAAUAAGUAUCCUGCAGUCUUCAAAGAAAGUGCCGGUUGUGAAAGACGGCGCAAAGGCAGAAGGGCACGGAACGAGAAUUGGCAACUAAAUGCAGCAAGGGAUUCCAGACUGGGUCCUGGGCCCGGAAAACAAAUCUCUCUAAAGGACGCUUUGGGAUAGCUGGAGAAAUCUGAACUUGGGAGUGUAGCUUAUAGUAUGGUGUUCAUGUCAAACUUCCAGAUGGCCAUGUUCCCAGGAAACACACACUUAAGUUUAUCUGGGGGGUGAAGGGACAUUGCAUGUGCAACCUACAAGUGGUUCAAUAAAGAAAAAUAUAUGGGUGGGUGUGUGUGCGUGGGUGUGUGUUUGGGGGGAGAAUAUUAUAAAAGGAGAGAGUUAUAAAGCAAAAUGUGGCCCUGUUGACGGUUGGCAGACCUGGGUAAAGGGUACGGAGAAAUUCUCUGUAUAACUCUUGUAACUUCCGUGUGUGUGUGUGUGUGUGUGUGUUUUGAAUGGGAGAUUGAACUGGGGCGGGGCGGGUCGCUUUACCAAUGAGCCAUAUCCCCAGCCCUUUGUUGAGACAGGGUUUCACUGAGUUACUUAGAGCCUCGCUCAAAUGCUGAGAAUGACCUGGAACUUGCUGUCCUCCUGCCUCAGCUUCCUGAGCCGCUGGGAUUACAGGAAUGCGCCACCACACCCCGCCAAGUGUGAAGUUAUUUUAAGAUUAUUUCAAUAAUGUAGAGAGAGGAUGAGAGGAAAGUUGGGAGGGAAAAAUAUAGACGACUGUUUGUGUUAUGGGCCAGGCUACAUGGGAAUGACCAAACAGACUUCAUUUUACUCUGAGACUCAUGUCAUAUAAGAAAUGCUUGUCCCAUGGGAAAGCCCCGCCCUCUGUACCCAUCAACAGUUAGUUUAGCAUGUUUGGCAACACAAAAUGGCAAUUCCUAUACAAUGUAAAAUUUUUCUCUCUUUGGUUCCCAUUUUGCUUGGACAAUGUACCCUCUCAGAGCAUGAUUGCUCAGCCGUUAGUAACCAUUCUUUAACUUGUACUCAACUAGGGUGGUUUUGACCCACUUCCCCUUCUCCUUAUGAUUUUGGAUCCCAUGACAUUUGUUUGUGGUUUUGAAUCAUAGCAACAGCCACUUAUGAUUAAUAUGGUUUUGGACUAUAAAAGGUGUACUCAAACCCCAGGAGGGGGUCGAAGGGUGUGGACUUGCAGCCUGGCCCUUGGCCUGCCAGCUGGUGGGUCCGGACUGCCGGCUGGUGAAUACAGAUGGUUCCGUCUCCUGCUUUUCGGUGAUUUAUUGCAACCUCGCCAUAACAUUUGGAGGAAUUUUCCUGCAAAAAGAGAAAUGGGGUGGUAGCUAGAGGGUGAAGUAGGUAGAGUUUAUGUUAAGGAGGAAAGAAAUAAUACAACUUACAUCCUGGUGGAAGAAGUCCAAUCCAGAAGCGAAUAUCGAUGAGGAGGGAGAAGAGAGUAGGAGAGAGUUGCCAGUGGCAAGGAGGGGUGCCCAGGUGCAGGGCAGGCCUUUGCCAGGAGCUGUGGCGGCUCAUCUGCAGCACCUGGGGGUGGGAGUGGGGUCACAGAUUUAAGAGGUGGGUGGAUACGUCCUGGGAACUCCUGGAAGCCUCCUGAUUGUAUCUGCAGGAUUUCCUCCUUGGGAAGCAAGGUAGUCAGUCAGCUGAGAGGGGGGCAGGUUGGAGAGGAAAGUAAGAAACAGAUGUCUGGAAAAGUGGAAGAUGAAUGGAGUAGGGAAGAAGAAGAUGAGUUAGCUGCUCUGCUCUGAGGGCAAAGUUACUCACCCCUUCUUCAACCUCCAGGGUGCGCGGGAUCCAGGGUUAUAGUUGUUCUUUGUUGUGGAUUGAAUGUUGAUGUCCUGCCCCCAGCCCCAACACCCAUUCCUGUGUAAAGGCCUAAACCCCCACUGGGGCUGUGUUUGGAUCUGGGGCCUCUGUGUAAGAAAGCGAUUAAGGAUAAAUGAGGUCAUAAGGGUGGGACCCUCAUCCAGUAGGAUUCCUGUGUUUAUAUGACAUCACAGGAAAGGGGCAAGGGAGCUGAGAAAAUAUGCAAAGAAAUUAAUCCAGGUAAAUGGAGAUGGAGGGAGCCUGGGGGCAGGGGAAGGGGAGGCAGAGGAAGAAUAGUGAAAGGUGGCAACUGGAAGGUGGUUAGAGAGUGUCAUACUAGAAGUGGACAAGGUUUAUAGCAGUUGUUAAGGACAAGAUCCAGAGCCAGACCACGGGAGUGGUUGGCUGGGGUAGGCCCAACGUCCAGCAAAGGUGUUGGAGAGAUAUUUGAUAGACAAAAAAUAGGAAAGAGUGGCUCUGGCCUGAUCAAGGAGCAACAGUAGGCGGGUACCUGGGAUAGGCUCGAGUGGUUGCUGAACAGGGAAAUGGAGGAACACGGGCUCAGGAGCCCAAUCGCCCCUCAAAAGAAAGAAAAGAAGAGCGGAAAAAGCAAAGAAGCAAGAAACGCACAGAGAAGAAAAUAAGCAGCAAAGAGAAUAAACAAAAGGGAAGACAGACCUAGAAAGGCAAAGUUCACUUAAACUGCUUUUGAACACUUCAUGGGUGAGGAGUACACCGGUCCUGGAAGUACUGCAAUACCAGGUCGAUGCGUGGAGUGGACGGAGCAAGCUCCUAUUCCAACUCCCUACUCCAAAAAUCCAUUUAAUAUACUGUCCUCAGAUAGAGGACGUAUCAGAUAUUAAACUGAUAAGAACAGAUACUACACUUGAUCUUAGCCAAAAGGCCGAGAAGCGAUGCCGUCCCACUCGCCCCUCGCCCUCACCGUCCUCCGCUGGCUCACUUUUAACUCGCGGUGAGCACCACGAUGCCUACUCCUACUCUCUUUUUCCUGGUGUCUCCUUGGGCAUCCCAUCGGGCCUACUAGACCUUCGUGAAGGUUCCCGAUUGGCCCCUUAGAUCGAGGAAUUUUAGCUGCCCUUGGCGGCUCUGGCGUUCAGGGGCGGGGGCGCCCUCCAAUACUUUGCAUGUCCCCGCCCCCUCACCGGAAAGGCGUGGCUACCGUGGGUCCCUUCCACCUGGCGACCGCUUCCAGGUCUCCAGGCAGCCCAGGGCGGGCUCUGCUCCCACUUCCAGACAUACCGAGACCAGAGAGGACCAGCGACUGCCGCUGACUCCGAGUCCAAGUCGGAGCCAGGAGCUCCGGAAAGCCAGAACUCGGUUUUGUUCCACGCACCUACUUCACACUCAAUCAGUAACUCUUCAGUGAAUGAGAUCGUGCCUCCCACACGCUCGGCCAAACCCCGACAAAUCGAGCUUGGGAUGGCUCCUUCUCAGUACUUCCCUGCUUCUUCAGGCCAUCUGCCCAAUGAUUCGCGUCCCCGUGUGCUUUCAUCCCGAGAAGGGGACGUCGCGGCUCCCCUUCACUGGAAUGGAACGCUUCCCGCCUCAAAUGAUUGACCUUUCGGUUUUCUCCUUGUGAUUCACUCCCGUGGAGUUUGCUCAGAUCCACGUGCACUCAAUGGGCUGGGCCCUGGUCGCGCUGUGUGCAGAGGUUGGCCGGAUGUCCUUGUGCUUUUAAUGAAAGCGCACCGCGGUGUCCUGGUGAUCCCGACCACCCUCGCUGCACCUGAACCUUGAAUUUCUAGGGGAUCCAGAACGUGGAGGGAGUUCUCAGGCAGCGCCACUCGCUCCAGCCUGGUCCUCAACACCUCAAACUUGGGAUUGCUUGCUUUGGGGCGGUCUGGGCCGGGGAUGGGGGCAGGUGGAAAACAGUCUAAGGCAAUAGAUACUUUUUUUUUUUUUUUGGUACUGGAGACUCAAUUCACGACCCUUAGCCACUGAGCCACAUACCCACCCCACCCCACCCCCUUUAAAAAAAAUUAUUUUCUAGUUGUACACAAUAACUUUAUUUUGUUUAUUUAUUUUUAUGUCGUGGGAGGCCAACCUUACACGUGACUGAGUUACACUCCCCGACUGGGUGCUGAGGCGCUCAGUCACAGAAAUGUGGCACCCUUCUUGGAUGCGAGGGUCGGUGUCUUGUGCAUGGGUGUGUCUUGCUACAGCCCCAUGGGUGAAGCUAUGCUCACCUGUUCCUUUGUAAUAGAACCCCUUGCCCUGUUAAGGAUAGAAUCUUCCAUGGAAGUGCCUUGUGUGUGUCCCCUUCUCUUACUGUGCCCUUGGGUGUGGCCUACCCAGGUGUCAGUCAACCUACUGACAGUGGACAUCAUGAAGAUACUCAGCCCCCUGAAACCUGACCCCUUGCCUCAUUUGAAUAGCUUCUCCUCAAUAAAAGGGGUCAGCGCGUGCUCUCGCUCUCUCUCUUUCUGCGGACCCUUAAGGUCAGAGGAGCCGUCACAGCAACCCCAAAGAAAAAGGUA
rnacentral:lncRNA from 1 species